AUUGAACGCUGGCGGCAUGCCUUACACAUGCAAGUCGAACGGCAGCACGGGGGCAACCCUGGUGGCGAGUGGCGAACGGGUGAGUAAUGCAUCGGAACGUGUCCUCUUGUGGGGGAUAACCAGUCGAAAGACUGGCUAAUACCGCAUGAGAUCGAAAGAUGAAAGCGGGGGACCGCAAGGCCUCGCGCGAGAGGAGCGGCCGAUGCCGGAUUAGCUAGUUGGUGGGGUAAUGGCCCACCAAGGCGACGAUCCGUAGCUGGUCUGAGAGGACGACCAGCCACACUGGGGACUGAGACACGGCCCCAGACUCCUACGGGAGGCAGCAGUGGGGAAUUUUGGACAAUGGGCGCAAGCCUGAUCCAGCCAUGCCGCGUGUGUGAAGAAGGCCUCGGGUUGUAAAGCACUUUCGGACGGAACGAAAUCGCGCGCAUGAACAAUGCGCGUGGAUGACGGUACCGUAAGAAGAAGCACCGGCUAACUACGUGCCAGCAGCCGCGGUAAUACGUAGGGUGCAAGCGUUAAUCGGAAUUACUGGGCGUAAAGGGUGCGCAGGCGGCCCCGCAUGUCAGGCGUGAAACUCCCCGGGCCUCAACCUGGGGAAUGGCGCUUGAAACUACGGGGCUGGAGUGUGGCAGAGGGAGGUGGAAUUCCACGUGUAGCGGUGAAAUGCGUAGAUAUGUGGA
rnacentral:rRNA from 1 species